UUUUUGGAAGGAUGGUGCUUGAAAUUAUGAUAUUUGAAGAUUCCCAAAGUACCACAAAGUUAUUUUCAUACUCAUGUUUUAAAAAUCUUUCUUUAACAUAAACCUUUUUUCCUAACAUACAGAAGUUUUCACAUGUGUAUAAGCCAAGUCUGAAAUAUUUGUUCUGUGUUGUUAAAGGUUUUCAAAUUUUCUUAUUUACAGCCAAUUGUACAUCUGUGGCUGACUUUGAUGAUUGUACAGGGGAUAUAACAGGUUUCUGUCCAGAGAAUAUUGUUUGUGCAUGCAAAGGUGAAGAGCCUUUUUGCAAAUGUCCAAAUUUCAGAGGUCGAUGGGGAAAUUACUGGUACAUGGGGGCCAAAUGUGACCAACUCUGGAAUACUCUGGACCUGAUUUUAGUAGCAACGUUGCCUGGGAUAGGACUGGCUUUAAUAGUUGGUGUAACAAUCCAGACCAUCCACUACUGUAAAAAGAAAUCAGUAAAGAAUGUAGAUGACCACCGAGAACAGAAGAGUUCUUCAGGAUUCCAACCUCAGCAUAACUCUGCCUAUGUUUUGGACACUGACAUGGGGCCUUCUCAACAUGGCCAAGGCCAGAAUCCCAGGAGAUCAUCCAUUCAGAGAGUCCUUCCUAGAAGACCUGAAUCUCCAC